rnacentral:lncRNA from 1 species
UUUGAUGGUGGUAUGCUCACAAUUCAGCUCGCCAUUCACAAGCCAGACCUUAUUCGAUUUAAAAUAAACUCAAAAUCAAUUAGCCUGUUUAAUAAAUAAGUCGAAUACGAAUUGAAUUUUUCGAAUUUCGAGUUGAACGUGAGUUGGUAUCACAUAGAUCAUUUUCGGCUCAAUAAUAAAAGAGAUUUGGAAAAAAACUACCACGUCUGAAAAAAAAAAUUGUGCUGAUGAUGACGAUGAAAAUAUUAUUUUAUAAAAAAUUUUAAGUUGAAAAUGAAACAAAAAAAAAUAAAAAUAAAAAAUAGAUAGUAAAAAAUUAAAAAAAAGAAAGAAGUAAAAGAGCGGCUAGGAUUUCACUAGGAUGAAAAAUACGUAGACCCCUCAUCUAUAAGUUCUAUUAAAAUUGAUUUCUCAACUUCAAGAGUUCAAAUUUUUUUCAUUUACUAUCGGAUAUUUUACCGGAUUCGGGUCUGGAUAUGGUUCGGGUCAGGUAUGAAAUAUCAGAUAUUUUGGACAGCUUUACUCGAUAUCUCGUAUAUAUAUAAAGAGAAUUGAGCUAGAAUACUUUUAAUAGCAAUAAUGAUUAGCAUCAAGUUAUUUGUGUUAAACUUUAUAAAAAUUAAGAUAGUACAUUCUGCCAUGAUUUCAAUUUCUAUACCCGGAUUGUAAAUGGCGAUCCUUGCUUGUGGUUCGUCAUCGUUCACGAUCAGCAAAUGAGCAGGACGUUUCGAAUUUAAUUCUCUUAUCCCUAGAUAUAGAGCCGUCAUAGAGGGUUAGACCGGGACUCCCAUA